AGGAGGAGGAGGGAGCCGGACUCUUAACUCUGAACAAGCCAGCCAGAUGGAUGGACAGACAGCAGCGAAAGGGAGGGGUGGGAUGGAGGAAAGAGCGCAAGAGAGAAAGCAGAUCACGAAAGACUGAGGGUGAAAGGGAAGAUAAACAGGCAGUGACAGAAUGAGAGAGACACACCAUGGGAGAAGAAACAGAAGGAGGGAAAACAGAACGUGAAAGAGAGAAAUGGAGAAAUAGACACACACACACACACACACACACGUCCUUGGUUGCCAAAUCCAGGGCUGUGUCCAGACAGCUACAGAGCAACAGGACCACUCUGUGGAGAGAGGGUUCUCUAAAAGUUAAGCACGGGACAGAGAGGAAAAAACAAGACACACAAAAGGAGAGAAGCUGAGCGAAGGCAAUGCCUCAGCGUGACGGCUGAGCUGAUCGGAAGCCCAGCUUGCCAAAGGAGAUCGUGCUGCUGUAGCCAGCAAUUGAGGGCUCCGAGAUACCCGGUUUUAACUGCACGAGCCACACAAGGAGAGCUUUGUUCGCGGGGAGAUGCGGGGACAGCCCCUGGUUUUAUGAGGCUUUGGGAACCCUGUAAAAGUCUGCAUGGGUUUAUUAAGCUGGCAAAUUACUUGAACAAGAAGAAUACGGCUCGUGCCAACGCCAGGCCAUGUGUCAAAAGGGCACCGAGCCAGGCUGAUCCGGGGGAGACAGGACGAAGCCCUGCCACUUGGAGACGGGGACGCCCAUGAUGAGCGGGCACACGUGCGCCGAGGGAGGCGAGGAGGCGCAGAUGGAAUGCAGGAGGCCCACCCCGAACAGGCUCUCAUGGGGCAAUUUAAUUCACUCCCUGCUGACUCUCUCACUUUGUUGUGCUCUGAAGCACGAAAUUACAAGAUUUACAGGAAAAAAUGACAUGGCCUUCCAAUCUCACACAGGGUCCUCCCCAUGACAGCCCUGCAGCUCUCC